ACGAACGCUGGCGGCGUGCUUAACACAUGCAAGUCGAGCGGUAAGGCCCUCGGGUACGACGAGCGGCGAACGGGUGAGUAACACGUGGGUGGACCUGCCUUUAGUCUCUGGGAGUAAGACCUGGGAAACGUAGGGUCUAAUACCGGAUAUGACCUCAUGACGCAUGUUGUGGGGUGGAAAGCCUUGUGCGGCUAGAGAUGGGCCCGCGGCCUAUCAGCUUGUUGGUGGGGUGAUGGCCUACCAAGGCGACGACGGGUAGCCGGCCUGAGAGGGCGACCGGCCACACUGGGACUGAGACACGGCCCAGACUCCUACGGGAGGCAGC
rnacentral:rRNA from 1 species